rnacentral:lncRNA from 1 species
GAGAUCACCCAGUCCUCUGCGUCAGCGAGAGCCCUCGUGAAUGUCUCAGUGUGGUUUUUACCAAAGCGUUGGGCAUUUUACCAAAGCCUCUCGGGUAGAGAGAGGCAUCGUUGGGCAUGGCUGGGUCUUCGUUUGUAAUUCGUAAAAGACUGUAUCCCCUGCCUCAAGCAUUGGAGCCUGUGUAAAUGGAUUCCACCAGUAGUAUAGAGUUAUGAUCUGAUUUGCCAAAGGGGGGGACGAGGGAAGGCCUUGUAUGCCUGCUUGUGGGUUGAUUAACAGUGGUCUGGGAAUGUGUCGCCCCCUAGUGGCGAAUGAGACGUGUUGAUAGAAGUUGGGAAUGACGUGUCUUAGUGACGCAUGAAUAAAAAUCGCUGGGAACAAGAAAAGCAGCCUCCCUGUAAAUGGUUUCUUGCUUGUUUAUAACCUCGUACAGUUCGUUGAGUGACAGCUUGUUGUUGUCCUGAGGUGGAAUAUAUACAACAGUCACGAUAACAGAUGAAGGGUCAGUAUUUGACCAUCAGGUAUUCCAAGACGGUUGAACAAUAGGUUGAGACUUCCACUACGCUGGAGUCUACACACCAUCUGUUGUUAAUGAAAAGACAAUACCCCCGAUAGCCAUCGUUUCAGAAAAAAAAGAAAAGAAUAUUGAGUCCCGUUGACAGCAAAUCUGCGAUCAGAGGUCAUCCAUCUUAUUAUCAAGAGACUAGAGGGAAGUGGUUUUCCCUUUGCCUUCACUAGGACGCCUCCAGCCUCCUUUUUCAUCAGCGUUUCCUCUUGGGUAGGUCGAAGAAACACAUCUGAUGUUCAAAAGAUCUUGUCGAUCAUAAUAGAAAUAAUAGCGCAUACAUUCCGUGCAACAAAAAAAAAGUAAAGCUCAUACAGUGCAGCACCAUCUUGGUUUUACGGUGCCAAAUUUUGUGUGUGUGUGUGUCUCUGUGUGUGUGUGUGUGUGUGUGUGUGUCUCAGUGAUAUAAACACAUUCUAAUGGAUAUGGACACCUGUGAGUACUUGACUCUGGGGCCCCUUUCACUCCAACACACACAUCUGGACCUGCCUGAGAGAGAAUGUGUGGGAAGCAGGCCUCUGUGAGUCAUCACCGUAACACACACACACACACACACACACACACACACACACACACACACACACACACGGCAGGCACACACGCGAACACACACAAAUCCCUCCAGCCUCAGGUCCUAAUGAUGGGGACCACCUGGAUGUGAUCAGUCAGAGGGCCAUGGGUUAAAAUCAUUGUGUUUUCACAGUGGUAGAGUUGUCAUAAAGGGGUGGGAGAGAGGAGAGUGGAUAAAUACAGGGAGUGCUACGUUUGUCGUAAGAAGGAGACCAAGGUGCAGCGUGGUAAGCGUAUAUCUUACUUUUUAUUUGAUGAACACCGACAAAACAAAGAAAAUACAAAACGAAUGUAAAGUUCUGCAGGCUUCACAGCAGCUGUACAAAAAACAAGAUCCCACAAUCACAGGUGGGAGAAAAUGGCUGCCUAAGUAUGAUCCCCAAUCAGAGACAACGAUAAACAGCUGCCUCUGAUUGGGAACCAUACUAGGCCAACAAAGAAAUAGCAACAUUGAUAUGCCCACCCAAGUCACACCCUGACCUAACAAAAUAGAGACAAAAAAGGCUCUCUAAGGUCAGGGCGGGACAGUACCCCCCCCCCAAAGGUCCGGACUCCGGCUGCAAACCUGAACCUAUAGGGAGGGUCCGGGUGGGCAUCUCCUCUCGGCUCCGGUGCGGGACGCAGACCCCGGUGCGGGACACAGACUCCGGUGCGGGACGCAGACCCCGGUGCGGGACCCAGACCCCGGUGCGGGACACAGACUCCGGUGCGGGACACAGACCCCACUCCGCUUGAGGCUCCCCCCACUUCAGUGGAACCGGACCGUGGAUCGUCGCUGGAGGCUCUAAACUGGGAACCCCCGCUGGAGGCUCUGAACUGGGAACCCCCACUGGAGGCUCUGAACUGGGAACCCCCACUGGAGGCUCUGAACUGGGAACCCCCGCUGGAGGCUCUGAACUGCCGACCGUCGCUGGAGGAGGAGGAUAAACACAGGGAGAGAGGAUAAACACAGGGAGAGAGGAUAAACACAGGGAGAGAGGAUAAACACAGGGAGAGAUGAGAGAAGAUAAAUACAGGGAGAGAGGAGAGAUGAGAGAAGAUAAAUACAGGGAGAGAGGAGAGAUGAGAGAAGAUAAAUACAGGGAGAGGAGGAGGAUAAACACAGGGAGAGAGGAUAAUUAGGGGGAGAGAGGAGAGAGGAUAAAUACAGGGAGAGAGGAGAGAGGAUAAACACAGGGAGAGAGGAGAGAGGAUAAACACAGGGAGAGAGGAUAAAUACAGGGAGAGAGGAGAGAGGAUAAACACAGGGAGAGAGGAGAGAGGAUAAAUACAGGGAGAGAGGAGAGAGGAUAAACACAGGGAGAGAGGAUAAACACAGGGAGAGAGGAGAGAGGAUAAAUACAGGGAGAGAGGAUAAAUACAGGGAGAGAGGAGAGAGGAUAAACACAGGGAGAGAGGAGAGAAGAUAAACACAGGGAGAGAGGAGAGAGGAUAAACACAGGGAGAGAGGAGAGAGGAUAAACACAGGGAGAGAGGAUAAACACAGGGAGAGAGGAGAGAGGAUAAAUACAGGGAGAGAGGAGAGAGGAUAAACACAGGGAGAGAGGAGAGAGCAUAAACACAGGGAGAGAGGAGAGAGGAUAAACACAGGGAGAGAGGAUAAACACAGGGAGAGAGGAGAGAGGAUAAAUACAGGGAGAGGAGAAAGGAUAAACACAGGGAGAGAUGAGAGAAGAUAAAUACAGGGAGAGAGGAUAAACACAGGGAGAGAGGAGAGAGGAUAAAUACAGGGAGAGAGGAGAGAGGAUAAACACAGGGAGAGAGGAUAAACACAGGGAGAGAGGAUAAACACAGGGAGAGAGGAGAGAGGAUAAACACAGGGAGAGAGGAGAGAGGAUUAACACAGGGAGAGAGAAUAAACACAGUGAGAGAGGAGAGAGGAUAAAUACAGGGAGAGAGGAUAAAUACAGGGUGAGAGGAUAAACACAGGGAGAGAGGAGAGAGGAUAAACACAGGGAGAGAGGAUAAACACAGGGAGAGAGGAGAGAGGAUAACCACAGGGAGAGGAGAGAGGAUAAACACAGGGAGAGAGGACAGAGGAUAAACACAGGGAGAGAGGAGACAGGAUAAACACAGGGAGAGAGGAGAGAGGAUAAACACAGGGAGAGAGGAGAGAGGAUAACCACAGGGAGAGGAGAGAGGAUAAACACAGGGAGAGAGGAGAGAUGAUAAACACAGGGAGAUAGCAAACCAUUUUGUCUGCUGAGAUCUUGCUACAAUGUUACAGUUUAGCAAACCAUUUCGCCACUAUGGGGCAAUAAAGUCCUAGACCACUGUUACUCAACCCAGAAGGAACCAUACAAGGCCAUCCCUCGUCACCCCUCUGGCAAAUCAGACCAUGACUUUAUACUCUUGCUUCCUGUUCACAUACAAAAGCUCAAACAGGAAGUACCCGUGAUGCGCUCCGUAGAAAAAAAUGAUCUAUCAAAUCAGAGCCUACGCUUCAGGACUGCUUCGCCAGCGUUCACUGGAAUAUGUUACGGGACUCCAUCGAUAGCACUGACGAGCAAACCUCCUCCGCCACCGACUUCAUCAGGAAAUGCGUCGCAGACGUCGUCCCUACGGUGAAGGUUCACUGCUUCCCCAAUCAAAAGCCCAGGAUUAACACCAAGGUUGGAGCUAAGCUAAAGGACAGGACUAGUAGCUCUCAGGGCUAUCGUAGCCAACUCCGAGGCUAUUGCUGAGGACACAAACAAGUGCAAGAAGUCCCAGCUACGACCUCCGCCGGGCCCUGAAACAGGCAAAAGGACAAUAUCGGAACAAGGAGGAUUCCUAUCAUACCACCUCCGAAACUCGACGCAAAUGGCGGAGGCUGCAUCCAGUACAUUACGAUGAUCUGCCCAUCGAUCCCUUUACACCAGAUGAACUUAAUGCCUUUUAUGACAAAAACAACACAUAGUCCUGCAUGAGGGUCUCUGCUAAUCCAGAGGACAGGGUGAUCUCUCGCUCUUCAAGGCUGGUUUUUAAACGGGUAAACAUUCGUAAGAUCGUAGGGCCAGACUGCAUUCCUGGACGUGUCCCGAGGGCAUGUGCAGACCAACUGCCUUCAAUGGACAUUUUCAACCUCUCCUUGUUCCAGUCUGCAAUCUCCACGUUUCAAACUGACCACCAUCAUUCCUGUUCCCAAAAACGAAGGCAUCCUGUCACAAUGAGUACUGCCCUGCAGCACUCAUAUCUGUAAUAAUGAAGUGCUUUGAACGGCUGAUCAUGGCUCACAUCAACACCAUCAUCCCAGACACCCUAGAACCACACCAAUUUGCAUACCGCCCCAACAGACCCACAGACGACGCAAUCUUAAUUCAAUUUGACGGUAAUCUGGACAUGCUUUGGUAGUACCCAACUUGCUAAUGAUCGGCAGGUCCUAACGGACUGGUAUUCAGGGUUCUAUUGUCCCUCCAUCUGGUCCUAACGGACUGGUACUCAGGGCUCUAUUGUCCCACCAUCAGGUCCUAAUGGCCUGGUACUCAGAGGGCUCUAUUGUCCCUCCAUCAGGUCCUAAUGGCCUGGUACUCAGGGCUCUAUUGUCCCACCAUCAGGUCCUAAUGGCCUGGUACUCAGGGCUCUAUUGUCCCUCCAUCAGAUCCUAAUGGCCUGGUACUCAGUGGGCUCUAUUGUCCCACCAUCAGGUCCUAAUGGCCUGGUACUCAGGGCUCUAUUGUCCCACCAUCAGGUCCUAAUGGCCUGGUACUCAGGGCUCUAUUGCCCCUCCAUCAGGUCCUAAUGGACUGGUACUCAGGGCUCGGUGUCAGGACGGGCAAGGGUCAAAACCAGGAGGAAAAAACAGAGACUGGGAAAAAUAGGAGCUAAACACUGGUUGACUUAGCAAACGAGACGAACUGGCACAGAGAGACAGGAAGACACGGGAGACGAACUCACCGGGGAUGGUGAGCGACACCUGGAUGGGGCGGAGACAAGCACAACGACCGGUGAAACAAAAUCAGGGUGUAACAACAGUAUCCUGCUUUUGUAACUCACCUCACUGUGAAGUUCAACAGCAGGCUGAAACUGAGAGUAAAACAUGACCAUUGUGGUUGUUGUUUUAAAGCCUAACAAAACAAAACUGUGUUUUUUUAAGGUGAUGAUUCAUUCAAAACACUCAUACCAAUAUUAUAGCUCAUACAUAGGCUUACAAUACAUAGUACUACAAUACAUAGCAGUACAGUACAUAGCAAUACAGAACAUAGCAAUAAAAUACAUAGCAAUACAGCAUAUAGCAAUACAGUACAUAGCAAUACAAUACAUAGCAAUACAGUACAUAGCAAUACAGAACAUAGCAAUACAGUACAUAGCAAUACAGUACAUAGCAAUACAGUACAUAGCAAUACAUAGCAAUACAGUACA